rnacentral:tRNA from 2 species
UGGGGAAUGGUGUAGGUGGUUAGCACAUCAGCCUUUGACUCUGACAGCGUGGGUUCGAAUCCCGCUUCCCCUU